AGAGUUUGAUCCUGGCUCAGGACGAACGCUGGCGGCGUGCCUAAUACAUGCAAGUAGAACGCUGAAGAGAGGAGCUUGCUCUUCUUGGAUGAGUUGCGAACGGGUGAGUAACGCGUAGGUAACCUGCCUUGUAGCGGGGGAUAACUAUUGGAAACGAUAGCUAAUACCGCAUAACAAUGGAUGACACAUGUCAUUUAUUUGAAAGGGGCAAUUGCUCCACUACAAGAUGGACCUGCGUUGUAUUAGCUAGUAGGUGAGGUAACGGCUCACCUAGGCGACGAUACAUAGCCGACCUGAGAGGGUGAUCGGCCACACUGGGACUGAGACACGGCCCAGACUCCUACGGGAGGCAGCAGUAGGGAAUCUUCGGCAAUGGGGGCAACCCUGACCGAGCAACGCCGCGUGAGUGAAGAAGGUUUUCGGAUCGUAAAGCUCUGUUGUAAGUCAAGAACGAGUGUGAGAGUGGAAAGUUCACACUGUGACGGUAGCUUACCAGAAAGGGACGGCUAACUACGUGCCAGCAGCCGCGGUAAUACGUAGGUCCCGAGCGUUGUCCGGAUUUAUUGGGCGUAAAGCGAGCGCAGGCGGUUUGAUAAGUCUGAAGUUAAAGGCUGUGGCUCAACCAUAGUUCGCUUUGGAAACUGUCAAACUCGAGUGCAGAAGGGGAGAGUGGAAUUCCAUGUGUAGCGGUGAAAUGCGUAGAUAUAUGGAGGAACACCGGUGGCGAAAGCGGCUCUCUGGUCUGUAACAGACGCUGAGGCUCGAAAGCGUGGGGAGCGAACAGGAUUAGAUACCCUGGUAGUCCACGCCGUAAACGAUGAGUGCUAGGUGUUGGAUCCUUUCCGGGAUUCAGUGCCGCAGCUAACGCAUUAAGCACUCCGCCUGGGGAGUACGACCGCAAGGUUGAAACUCAAAGGAAUUGACGGGGGCCCGCACGAGCGGUGGAGUAUGUGGUUUAAUUCGACGCAACGCGAAGAACCUUACCAGGUCUUGACAUUGAUCGCCAUUCACAGAAAUGUGAAGUUCUCCUUCGGGAGACGAGAAAACAGGUGGUGCACGGCUGUCGUCAGCUCGUGUCGUGAGAUGUUGGGUUAAGUCCCGCAACGAGCGCAACCCCUAUCUUAUGUUACCAGCACGUUAUGGUGGGGACUCAUGAGAGACCGCCGCGGACAACGCGGAGGAAGGUGGGGAUGACGUCAAGUCAUCAUGCCCCUUAUGACCUGGGCUACACACGUACUACAAUGGGUGUCAACAAAGAGAAGCGAAACCGCGAGGUGGAGCGAACCUCAAAAACACACCCCCAGUUCAGAUUGCAGGCUGCAACCCGCCUGCAUGAAGUAGGAAUCGCUAGUAAUCGCGGGUCAGCAUACCGCGGUGAAUACGUUCCCGGGCCUUGCACACACCGCCCGUCA
rnacentral:rRNA from 1 species